rnacentral:SRP_RNA from 1 species
AGCCGGGGUGUCAGCGGUACCUUGUACCUACAAUCCGCUAUAGUAGGGGUGAUGCUGUGCAGAGGGCUUAUUCUUGUGAAGCUGCCCUUGGUAAGUGGCGAUGAGAUUUGGGUCUUACGCAACAAGACUCCAUGAACCGUGUCAGGUCGGGAACGAAGCAGCACUAAGUGGAAUCCCUUGUGUGCCGUAAGGGUGCCUGGGUUGAGUUAACUGCCGAGGUAACGUUUGGGAGAUGAGUUCGAA